AACUACCUCUGAUGAAGCUAGCAGGUGAAGCUAAUAAUGUCUUUAUAAGAAACUGAAACCAGUCCCUCCAGUGUGACCAGUGCCACCGUCAAGUAACGGGGAAAAGCUCUAGAACACCUUUCAGAAACAGCUGGAUGAGUGUUAGAUUAAGGCUUGGUUCAGUUUUCCGGUAGUUUUAAUAAUAACGGCCGUGUUUUGGGACCGUUAGUUAGCUUAGCCGUUAGCUCUAAAGCAACAAGUUCAGAGGAAAAAACUCAAGCAUUUCAACAACUUGGUCAAAGAAAGGAAGGAUGGUGUCUGCUCAGCGUCCGGUGUAGAUGAAAUCUGAGGAAAAAGCACAGACUCGGCCACGAUGACGGAGAAGAAGCGCACGGCUCCGUUAGCGUCGCUGAACCACGAGCAGUUGAAGCGGAACAGGAUGGACGACGGCGUGACCUUCGACCUCUCGCUGACCCGGACACUGGGGGGCGGGACCGGCGGACCUGAGAGGAGGCGGGUUGGGAUAUAUUUAUACUGGAAGACAUUUACACAAUAUGUUGGUUGUGUUUUUCCCGGUAUGGAAGCCCCCCAAAUGUUUAUAUGUAAAUAAUAACACGUCAGAUAUUCAGAAAAAGGCUUCCUUAAAAAAACUCUUCUUUAUUUGUUUUUUGUCUCGCUCCAGUUGUGUCAGGAUGAUUCAUGACUCAGCAGAAAGAGGAACAAAGACGGAAAUAAAGUUAAAGUUCAAACGUGA